CGCCCAGCACUACGCUGAAUUUUAUAUUUAGAUACUACAGAAUGCUCAAGCAAAGACAUUCAUUAUCUAACAAAUCAAAUGCUUUGUUGGAUAGCAAGCUGAACAGUAACGUUAGGGCCAUUUUCUGGAAGAGAAACCCACUUGGACAGUUUGACAAGGAUCAAGAGGCCAAGGACCAGGUGGUGAAGGCUGAACCAACAGACCAGACAGCUCUCCCUCAGCCAGCCUCUGAACCUGCUCUACAGUCUGAAUAGCCCGGGUGAGGUUAAACUCUCCUUUGCUGGUGACCCAGAUGGCUGAGAACAUGUUAGGCUGGUACCCUGGAAGCUAAGAGGAAAGCGGCAAAGGAGUUCGCAGGCGAGACUGAUGAUUGCAGAGGAGCUGAAACCCACAGAGGACAUGGGUCUCAAUGAACACAAGGUCAAGGCCUGGUGAAAACCACUACAGAGGAUCAUAGCCAUCGUUGGAAUUCUGAAAGGACGUGGGUGAAUAUCAAUCUGCCAAAUGAACAUUCACAUAUGUAUAUAAGGUAUAUUAAUACUGAUUAUAUAUGAACUUGUUUGUUUGUUACUGGAAAGAACUUAGCUUCUAUUGUUUUUGACUGAAGGACUUGACCGUGUUUUAAGCCUAGGUGCAUUUUCUAGAUGUUGAGCAUGAACAGUACUUUAAACAAUGAUUUACUGGGUGACUUUUAUGGCGUUUUUCCAUUACCAGUACCAGCUUUGGCCGUGCUCCAUUUUCCAUUGCAGAUCAUACCCAGAGAUAGUACCCCUCAAUACAGAUAGUCGUGAUAGCAAGGCCACACACAACUGCCGCAACGUAAUGUUCAAUGCGACACACACACCUGCGACCCACAUACAGCUGUCUCUUGAUUUAAGUUAAAACCUUUCAGCAUUACUCAGAAUGUAAAGACAGAUAUUUAAAGGUGCUCUAAGCGAUGCCGGGAGUCGUAACUUCUUGUUGACGUUCGAAUUGUUGUCAAACAAAACCGAGGCUAACUAGACCCUCCCUCCUCCUCAUCCGCGCACUAA